CAGAAAAGAGGCGGUCAUUUCAAUUUCUGGUACCAGUAAAUACUCAGGGUACCAAAAAUUUAAAGGACCGUCCCUUUUCUGUAUUUACCUCU